UACAGAGGGGGCAAGCGUUGUUCGGAAUUACUGGGCGUAAAGGGCGCGUAGGCGGCCUUCUAAGUCAGACGUGAAAUCCCUCGGCUCAACCGGGGAACUGCGUCUGAGACUGGAAGGCUUGAAUCCGGGAGAGGGAUGUGGAAUUCCAGGUGUAGCGGUGAAAUGCGUAGAUAUCAGGAGGAACACCAAUGGCGAAGGCAGCUCGCUGGAACGGUACUGACGCUGAGGCGCGAAAGCGUGGGGAGCGAACAGG
rnacentral:rRNA from 1 species